rnacentral:lncRNA from 1 species
GACUGAACAAAGCAAGAGUAAGAGAAGUGUUAUCAAUCUGAAAUGGGCACAGAAACGGAUAAAAAAGCCUGUAGACAGCAAUUAUCAAUUUAAUCUGGGAGAAGAAAGAUCUACUUGACUUUUUGACAGCCAAGUCAAUCCAACCAGAAAAUUCAAACCCUACAAGAAAACUGCUUUGCAACAUUUUUAACUGACAACAGAAAUCCAUGAUAACAUAAUCACCUUUUUCUUUCUUUCCCAAACUCAUUCUCUCUAAAGAAAAUAAAC